AAAAAUAAAAUAAAAAUAAAAAUAAUAAUUAUAAUAAGAAUAAUCCUUAGAAAAACAAUAGGGCCCUGCGCCCAUUGGCUCGGGCCCUAAAUAUAGCUGCAAGCAGCGAUGGCGGGCUCAAGCCAUCAGCGCAAACGCCACCCCGGUGGCAUCAGGUAAACUGUGCCCAGCGGGCACAUGCAUUUACAGUAAUCCUCUGGCACUCAGGUUUUAAGGGAUACGGCAAUUAACGGGUUAAUCCGAAGCAUCAAGACUUUGAAAUCACAUACACAGAACAAUAUUCAUUAAGAAAGUGAAAUUAAAUGAUUAAUAAACUAUUUAUUCGAACCCUUGCUAU
ensembl:lncRNA